rnacentral:rRNA from 1 species
UACGGAGGGUGCGAGCGUUGUCCGGAAUCAUUGGGCGUAAAGGGCGCGUAGGUGGCCCGGUCAGUUCGUGGUGAAAGCGCGGGGCUCAACCCUGCGUCGGCCAUGAAUACUGCCGCGGCUGGAGCACUGUAGAGGCAGGCGGAAUUCCGGGUGUAGCGGUGGAAUGCGUAGAGAUCCGGAAGAACACCGGUGGCGAAGGCGGCCUGCUGGGCAGUUGCUGACACUGAGGCGCGACAGCGUGGGGAGCAA